UAUAUAUUAGUUUAAAAUAAAACUUUAUAUUUUCAUUAUAAGAUUGUAUUUAUGAUACAUAUAUAU
rnacentral:tRNA from 1 species